GACGAACGCUGGCGGUGUGCCUCACACAUGCAAGUCGAGCGGAUUUACUUAGUAGCUUGCUAUUAAGUAAGUUAGCGGCGGACGGGUGAGUAAUGCGUAGGAAUCUACCCUAAGGUAGGGGAUAACGGGCUGAAGGUCCGCUAAUACCCAUAUGCGGGUUCGUCUUCGGAGGAUUCGUGAAAGGAGCAAUUCGGCCUUUGGAUGAGCCUGCGUCUGAUUAGCUAGUUGGUAGGGAAAGACCUACCAAGGCUACGAUCGGUAGUUGGUCUGAGAGGAUGAUCA
rnacentral:rRNA from 1 species